CACGACUGGCUUCCAAACCCAAUAAUUUCGCCCAAAAUUUUGCCUCUCCGACUCGCUCUAAAAUUUCCCGCUACUCGAAAGAGUUUGGAAAUUUGGAAGAAAAUCGCCCACUCCUCCUUCUCUAUCCCCAUCUCAUUCUGUUUGAAGCUUUCUCUCAAGCUCAAUUUACCGUUGCGGGAUACAAGGUAUUUUAUAGAUUUUGGUCAUACUUUUGCAAUAAUCUUGGUAAUUAAUCACUAUUUUCUGUUAAUUGAUUGCCAAUCAAAAGCAGUUUAGGUUGAGAUUGGGUUUGCAAUAAACAAAUACUUAGGUUUUAGUGUUUCGUUUUAUUUUGUACCUUUUGUCGUAUCAUGCUUGGGGAAUGAGUUUGCAUUCUUUUUGAUUUCUUAAACCUAUGAGUAUUUCUUUAUCCUUAUUCCAUGGGAUUAUAAUAUGAACUUCACUAAUAAUUUAUUCCUUUCUUUGUAUUUUUUUAACCCAAGACACAACUCUCGUAGUCUCCAUAAAAUUACUAUAUUGCAUAUGUAAUCAUAUCCUUCAAAAAGCUAUGCAUAUCCUAUCUUGUAUUUUUUGUAUAGAAAUCUCGUAUGUAUCCUAUGAUUAGUAUCGUCUCCUUUGAAAAACUAUACAAGUCCUUUCAUAAAAUAGUAGCAAGAAGCUAUGUGGCUCACUAACCUCACUUGAAACUAAAAAAGUAUGCAUGCAAGAGCCAAGGACGACAAGGGAUGUAAGCAGAAUUCCAACUAGAAGGAAAAUUUGCAGCUUAUGUGCUUGAACUUCUGUAUAGUACCUAAAAGAGGGGAAAAAAACCAACAGAACAUAAUGGUUUCAUAUGCCUCUGCAAUUACUGGUAUGCUACUUAUGAUUACUGUUGAUUCUUUUCAGUUUUUGGAAUGUUCUUAAAGGCCUCAUCUUUGUGUUAUGCCUUAUUCAUUAACAUGUUUUAAGUGAUGGCCCCGAUGACUCGUAAUACUGGACGAGUUCUUUUAGAGCCAGAUUCCAAUCAGUCAUAGGAAGUAAGUAUGAAUGUUGUAGCCAUUGUUCAGCCCCUCAAUGAACCAGGUAAAUGAUAAACUCGAUCAUUUGGUUUUCUUUAUGUAUACAAAAUGGGGUGAGUUGAUAAUGUAUCUUUUUUGGGGUGAGUUAAUCUAUGUGCUAUAAGUUGUGCAUUUUGUUUUUGUCUGACAGUGGCUUAUAGACAAAUCACAGUUAUCAUGCCUAUUAAUGCACCAUGUACCUGCUAUUUCACUAAAUUGUUGGUGUCAAUAUGUCUCUUCUUUCUUUUCUUGUUGCUUUAAGUAUACUAACUCACUAUCUUGCCAUCAAUUAAAAACUGGAAUAGGAGAAAUUGCAGGUAGCGGGAAAAAAGCCAUGAGAGCACAGGGUCCCACUUUUAUGGGUAAAGUUUGGGGCCAGCAUGACGAUGAAUGCGUACAAGUUUUAUUCAACGACAAAGGACAAUCGAUUUCCAAUAAUAGCAUUUUGAGCCACUUCGUAGGAACUAUAGCAAGAAAUGAGAAAUAUGCACCUCUCCAAUAUAAGACUUGGCACAAGAUGCCUAAAGUUUUCAAGGAAGAUAUAUUUGCAUUGGUACUGCAAAAGUUUGAUUUCUCUCCUGGUCACAAGAGAUGGAACUUGAAAUCACUUUCGAAAAAGUGGAGGAACUGGAAGGUUAUAGUGAAGAGAGACCACUAUGAUUUCGACCUACCCAUUGAGGAGCAAAUACAUAGUCCUCCGGAUUGAGUGCAAGCAGACCAAUGUAAAGAACUUGUUAAGCAUCGGCAUGAAGACGCGAGUGUAUGAGAUCUUGUUAAGUAUUGGCAUGAAGACACAAAGGUAUGAGACCUUUGAUCUUUUCCAAUUUCAGUAACCUUAAAAUUUGUCCUUAAUGAUUUUUUUUUUUGUUUCAAAAAUUUUAUACCAAAAACAAGUCUAGUUGAGUAGGGCAAAAUAUCAUUUAUAAGAAGGGCAAAACUCCUUUAGCCAUAGUAAGAGAGACUGAGGCAAAAAACCUCGGCCAUGAUCCAUCGCGUGCAUAUAUGUUCCUUACUUGCUUCACAAACAAUGGCAAGGUCUCAAAUGAGGAAUUGAGUAAAAAAAUAGUAAGUUUCGCCAACUUCUUUCAUACAUAAACUUUUGUUCUUAGAUUCCAAGAGUAACGUAAACUAUUGUGUUCCAAGAAAAAAUAAAAGGGCUAUCCGAACAAGUUCUCAAGGGUGAACUUGAUUCUUUUGGUCCAGAUGAUGUGUUCUCCAAAGUUAUGGGCAAAGAGAAAUAUGAAAGUGUGCACAUGUAUGGGGUAAGGGUUUGCCCAUCUGAUGUUUGGGGUGAUGUGCCUAGUAGUGACACAUCUUAUAGGAUGUCAAUGGAGUGGAAGAUAGAGCUAGAUAAAACAAACCAAAAAUUGGAAGAGCAAAUGAAUUUAUAUUUGCAGAGUCAAGCAAAUGGGGCUAACUCCUCAAACAUUCGAGCCACAUCUUCAAACAUUCCAGUCACAUCUCCAAACCAACACAUUGGUUCAUCAACACCUGUUACCCAACGAGGACGUGUUAAGAUGGAGGAUUGUGUUUAUUUCAAGAGCAUAGCCAACCCCAUAGAAGUUGUAGGCAAAUGGUGGAUUGCUAGUAUGGAUCCAUCUACGGAGGUAGGCAGAGUAGAACUCAGAGUUAAUUGGUGUGAGAUUCGUGUUCAAAUCCCAAUCAUAUGGGGGCAAGCAUUUGAUGAGGACUUACGCAAGCCUUAAGAUCGUUGGUGAUGCCAUUGGUAUCCCAAUAGCAUGGCCUAUUUCUUUGGUACGUUUGAUGUACAAUACUGUCUAUUUUUCAAUUCUUAUUGCAAGACAAUGGCUUUUAAAACAGUGUAUUUGGUUUUGUUUUGAUUAAGUAGUGAGAGAUGAUGAUGAUGAUGGCUUUAUUGAAUGAAU